GCCAGUAUGGUGCAGUGGUUUGAGCAUUGGACUAAGACUUUGGAGAACAGGGUUCAAAUCCCCGCUCAGCCA